CUCAUGGAGAGUUUGAUCAUGUCUCAAAAUGAACUCUGGUGACAUGCUUAACACAUGCAAGUUGGACAGGAAGUGGUGUUUCCAGUGGUGGAUGGGUGAGUAACGCUUAAGAACCUACCCUUGGGAGGGGAACAAUAGCUAGAAAUGGUUGCUAAUACCCCAUAGGCUGAAGAGAAAAAGGAGGAAUCUGCCCAAGGAGUGGCUCACGUCUGAUUAGUUAGCUGGUGAGGCAAUGGCUUACCAAGGCGACGAUCAAUAGUUGGUUCGAGAGGAUGAUCAGCUACACUGGGACUGAGACAUGGCCCAAACUCCUACGGAAGGCAGUGGUGGGGAAAUUUCUGCAAUGGGCGAAAGCCUAACGGAGCAAUGUUGUGUGAAGGAAGAAGGCCCACGGGUCAUGAAAUUAUUUUAUCAAAGAAUAAACAAUGAUAAUAUCUAAGGAAUAAGCAUCAUCUAACUCUGUGCCAGCAGUCACGGUAAGACAGAGGAUGUAAGUUUUAUCCAGAAUGAUUGGGUGUAAAGCGUUUGUAGGUGGCUUUUCAAGUCCGUUGUCAAAUCCCAGAGCUCAACCCUAGACAAGUGGUGGAAACUACCAAGCUGGAGUAUGGUAGGGGCAGAGGGAAUUUCCAGUGGAGCAGUGAAAUGCAUUGAGAUCGAAAAGAACACCAACAGUGAAAGCACUCUGUUGGGCUGACACUGACACUGAGAGACAAAAGCUAGGGGAGAAAAUGGGAUUAUAUACCCCAGUAGUCCUAGCCCGUAAACGAUGGAUACUAAGUGUUCUGUGUAUCAACCCACAUAGUGUUGUAGCUAACGCGUUAAGUAUCCCACCUGUGGAGUACGUUCCUAAGAAUUAAACUCAAAGGAAUUUACGGGGGCCCGCACAAGUCGUGGAGCAUGUGGUUCAAUUUGAUGCAAAGUGUAGAACCUUACCAGGGCUUGACAUGUCAUGAAUCCUCUCGAAAGAGAGGAGUGCCUUCGGGAACAUGGACAUAGGUGAUGCAUGGAUAUCAUCAAAUCAUGCCAUAAGGUGUUGGGUUAAGUCCCGCAACGAGCGCAACCCUCGUGUUUAGUUUCCAGCAUUGAGUUUGGAACCUUGAACAGACUGUCAAUGAUAAGCCGGAGGAAGGUGAGGAUGAUGUCAAGUCAUCAUGCCCCUUAAGACCUAGGAGACACAUGUGAUACAAUGAUCAGGACAAAAGGUCACGACCCUGCGAGGGCAAGCUAACCUCAAAAAAUCGGCCUCAGUUCGGAUUGCAGGCUGCAACUCACCUACAUGAAGCCGAAAUCACUAGUAAUCGUCAGGCAGCCAUACGGCGGUGAAUCCAUUCCUGAGCCUUGUACACACCACCCGUCACACUAUGGGAGCUACCCAUGCCCCAAUUAAUUACCUUAACUGCAAGGGGGGGGAUGCAGAAGGCUGGGCUAGUGACUGGAGUGAAGUCGUAACAAGGUAGUCAUACUGGAAGGUGCGGCUGGAUCACCUCCAUU
rfam:Picea glauca, whole genome shotgun sequence.